GAUAGAUAGAUAGAUAGAUAGAUAGAUAGAUAGAUAGAUAGAUUAGAUAGAUAUAAAGUGGAAAUAGAAGUUCCAAGUCCACUGUGAGGAGCCAGGGAUGGCACUGUUCCAUGUAAGUGUUCCCUGGAGACAUUUGAUCUCUACAGUUGUCUGGCCUGGCCCUCUUAGACUGCACUGUCCAAUAAAACUAUUGUAGAACUGUUUAAAUCCAAUUUGAAAUUUCAAAUAGCCACAUAAAAAUGUAAAAGAAGAUAAAGUCAGAGGUAGAGUGCAAGUUUAGCAUUUAUAAUACUCUGGGUUCUAUCACCAGCACAGACUAUCAGAUGAUAAAUGAUAGAUGAUAGAUGAUAGAUAGAUAGAUAGAUAGAUAGAUAGAUAGAUAGAUAGAUAGAUAUUCAUUCCUUUUUAGUAAGUUCAAAUAGUCUUUGAACAUGUAAUCCACAUAAAGCUAAUUACAAAAUAAAUAUAUUACAUGGAUUUUUAUAUCAUGUCUUUAAAGUUUUAUCUGUUGUGCAUAUUUUAAUUCAGAUCAGUCAUAAGUAGCUGCCAUAUUGGACAGUGGAGCCUUACAAGACUGACCCUUCCCGCUGCCUUCCAAAACAUGUUCACAUUUAGAGGAUGGACUCUGCCAACACUGCCUAAGCCCCUUCAUUUUACAGGUGAAGAUGACCAGAUCUAGAGAUGCUGGGUUGCUUAGAAUCCCAUAGCCAUUCACAUCAGAAGCCCCACCCUUUUGUCUGACUUCAAUUGCUUUCAUCAUUCUUUCUUUCCUUAGAUUUGUGUUGCUGCAACUACUCACUGUGAGACUGUUGCUGUUGGUUAAAUAUUGAGCCAGGAGUCUUAAAAACAUUUGGUCCACUCAGUAAAGCCACUGUUUGAUUUGGUGGAAACUGUUUUGAGCAGAGUAGGUAGAACUACCAGGCACAUUGACAGUUCUCCAUGAGAUAGUAAUAGGAGGUGAUAAUGGGGACAGGGGUGACUUUAUGCUUGUUGGUGUUGCUGUGGGCAUUAUAGGAGUAUGUGACUUCAAAUUUUGAAAUGCUAGCUGCCUGCUUACAGGAAGGGAGAUGAGCUGUUCCCAUGCAAAGUUUAUUGUCUAGUUGUAUGUAUAAGCCUACACAUGAUGAAUAUCUUAAUGCUUAACUCUCUCUGGAAAUGGCAGGGUUAAGCUUUUAUAUUUCAUAUUUUUUUCUUGUAUUAGGAACGUGUGUGUGUGUGUGUGUGUGUGUGUGUGUGUGUGUGUGUGUGUGUGUGUAUGUGUGUGUGUGUGAAUGUACUCCUAUUUCUCACUCAGUUAUACUUAAAGUGUGAUGAUUUUUGACAAGUUAAUCCCAGUACACUCCUGGCAUGUAAAGUAUUUUCAGAAUGUAAGCCCAUGUGGAAAUUCGUUGGCUUGGUAUGACGGGUUCGGGCAGGGGAGGCAUAGUGUGAUCCCGUGGAGUGUUCGGAGCUGCCAAGUAUUUGUUCUUCGGUGUGAAAGCGUGCUUGACGGGUGGACUUUCCUAGCUGGAAGGUGCUUUGUUCAUCCUUCCUAAAACAUUUAUCAGCACGGAUGUUGUAGAUCGUGUAAGAGAGUCCCCUUUAUUCAUGUGACUUAGUUCAGUGAUCUUAGAUUUAGAGUUAAGUUUUUGUGUUCCAGGGUUGGGACUAAUUCCCAGCCAUGGCCCAGCUUUACCCACAAAGGAACUACCGACCUGUAAGGAUAUUCAUUUGAUGCGUUUGCUUUUGUUCCUGGUGCCAGUCAUUGGAUUUUGCCUAUAGUGCUUUAUGUGGCUAUACUUAGAAGUUUUAUAGCUUGUAGCAAUCAGGUGAAAGUACAGGGAUAUGGCUGAGUACUGUAACUUGCGUCUGUAAUCCCAGCCAGAGGCAGGAGGAUCACCAGUCCAGGGCAAUUUGAGCUACAGAGGCAAACUGAAAAAGGAAAAGAAAAAAAAAAAGAGAUUCCUUUAUUUCCUUUGGCCUUCAUACACAAAUAUUUAAAUUCUUAAUGUACGGUUUUAAGUCAGCCCCCUACCUCCCCCACCUUGGUAGUUUGCAUAGUACACAUUAGCAUUUGAAACAAAAGUUUUGAGCUAUAAGAUGCUCAUGGGAGUCAUUCUGAAAUAUGUUUAAGGUGGAUUGAUUCGGAAAGGAUGCAAAUCCAAGUUAGGCUGGCUGAGGCCUCCCCGCUUCUUUAGAGGGUGAUACGGAAGGUUUGAGGACCCAGUCUGCUUCGGUCGGAGUGUGGACAGCCAGUGAGGGCAGUGCAGCAAAACCGUGUCUCAGAAUC
rnacentral:lncRNA from 1 species